AUUGAACGCUGGCGGCAUGCUUUACACAUGCAAGUCGAACGGCAGCGCGGGCUUCGGCCUGGCGGCGAGUGGCGAACGGGUGAGUAAUACAUCGGAACGUGCCCAGUAGUGGGGGAUAGCUCGGCGAAAGCCGGAUUAAUACCGCAUACGACCUGAGGGUGAAAGCGGGGGAUCUUCGGACCUCGCGCUAUUGGAGCGGCCGAUGGCAGAUUAGCUAGUUGGUGGGGUAAAGGCCUACCAAGGCGACGACCUGUAGCUGGUCUGAGAGGACGACCAGCCACACUGGGACUGAGACACGGCCCAGACUCCUACGGGAGGCAGCAGUGGGGAAUUUUGGACAAUGGGCGAAAGCCUGAUCCAGCAAUGCCGCGUGUGUGAUGAAGGCCUUCGGGUUGUAAAGCACUUUUGGCGGGAACGAAAAGGACUGUGCCAAUACCACGGUUCGAUGACGGUACCCGCAGAAUAAGCACCGGCUAACUACGUG
rnacentral:rRNA from 1 species